AUGGAGGUGGCCCUCGGCUCGGCCAAGUCGCUCCUCGGCAAGGUGUGGACGACGCUGUCCGACGGCCUGGUGGCUGCGUACGUGGACUGCCUCCAGCUCGGCCACAACUCGGAGCAGAUCAGGGACAAGCUACUGCACACGCAAGGCCUGCUGCACAACGCCCAGGUCCAGGGGAGCCACAACCCUGGCCUGCAGGGGUUGUUGGAGAAGCUGAGUAGGGACGCCGACCAGGCAGAGGACUUGCUGGAUGAGGUCCACUACUUCCACAUCCAUGACAAGCUCCACGGCACCCGCUACGCCACCACCCAAGAGGAUCCGGAGGGCGUUGUUCGCCUCAGCCGUCAAGCUCCCCAUGCUGGUACUGCUCUUCGCCACACCCUAGGCAGCUUGGUCCACUUCUUUUCUUACUCGCGUACACCCAAGGCCAAGAGGGAUGGUAGUGAUGAUGAUGUUGCUGCUGCUGCGGCUGUUGCCGGCCGCGUCACCAAAAGCAAAAUCAAGUCCCUGUUACUGGGCAUGGAGUCCCACUGUGAUUCCGUCUCCAAUUUGCUCAUCAACAGUGUCCCAAGCAACAGCCUCAGUCCCUGUUACUGGGCAGUUGUCGUCCCACUUGGUCCAGGGGAUAUUGGCAAGACAACUUUCGCCCAACAUCUGUAUAAUGAUAGCAGGACUGAAGAGCACUUCCAGGUCAGGGUCUGGGUAUGUGUAUCCACUGAUUUCGAUGUGCUUAAGCUCACCAGGGAGAUCCUUGCCUGCAUACCUGCAAAAAAAGAAGAAGGAGGAAGCAGCAGUGUUGCAAAUGAAACAACCAAUUUAGAUCAUCUUCAUAGGUCCAUUGCGCGCCGUCUCAGGUCCAAGAGGUUUCUAAUUGUCUUGGAUGACAUAUGGAAAUGUGACAGUAUGGAUCAGUGGAAAACCCUGUUAGCUCUGUUCACAAAGGGGGAAACCAAAGGAAGCAUGCUACUUGUCACAACCCGAUUCCCAAAUCUAGCAAAAAUGGUGGGAACAGUUGAUUCACUAGAACUGGCAGGUUUGGAGCCUAAUGACUUCUUCACAUUCUUUGAAGCAUGUAUAUUUAAUGGUGAAGAAGACAAACCUGACCAUUACGAAGAUGACUUUGCUGACUUUAGCCACCUUGAGAAUUUACAUGAUUUUCAUGCUACAAGUAAACUCCACUCCAAUAUUCGCAAUGUUGGAAAGAUGAAGCAUCUGCAAGAGCUAAAAGAAUUCCAUGUCAGGAAUGGGAGCAUGGGAUUUGAGCUGUCAGAACUUGGGGCAUUGACAGAGCUUCAAGGAGGACUGAUUAUACGUGGUAUUGAACACGUGUCGAACAAGGAGGAAGCUACUGCAGCCAAACUGAAGUUGAAAAAGAAUAUGAAGGAGCUGGAAUUACUCUGGGGCAGAGAUGGAGCAACUACAGAUGCUGAUAUCCUUGAUGCUCUUCAACCACACUCGAAUCUUAGAGCACUUAUAAUUGCAAAUCAUGGUGGUACCGUUGGUCCUAGUUGGUUGUGUCUUGACAUCUGGUUAGCAAGUUUGGAGACUCUCACUCUAGAAGGCGUAUCUUGGAGCACCCUCCCACCUUUUGCGAAGCUACCAAAUCUCAAGGGACUCAAAUUGAAGAAAAUUUCUGGAAUGCAUCAAUUUGGGCUUCGAUGUGGUGGCACUCCAGGAAAAUGUUCUAUGCGCUUGAACAUAAUCGAGUUUUAUGAGAUGCCAGAACUUGUUGAAUGGGCUGUGGAACCUAAUUGCCAUUCCUUAACAAGCAUUGAAGAAAUCAUAUGCAUCGAUUGUCCCAAUGUCUGUGUGAUGCCCUUCUCAGAGGUAUCUUGCACCAAUUUGCGCGGACUUCAAGUUUCUGGGUGCCCAAAGAUGUCUCUGCCCUCCAUGCCUCACACCUCCACACUGACAGAUUUAGAUGUUAAAAGAGGUGAUUCAGAAACAUUGUUGUCUUAUGAUGGAAAGCUAUUGGUUGUUAGAGGGUAUGGCGAUGCUUUGGCCUACCACAAUAUGGAUAAACUAGAAGAUAUGGUUAUUGAAAAUGUAUCAUGCAUAUCAAUGCAGUUCCCAUCAUCCAGCUCACUCCAGAAACUUAGCUUUAGAGACUGCAAGGGCCUGGUUCUUGUGCCUGUGGAGAAUGGAGGAGAAAUUCAGGAGGACAACUCAUUGCUCCAAUCAUUAACAAUAUGGGGAUGUGGCGAAUUGUUCUGUCGGUGGCCCAUGGCCAUGGGAGAAUCAAAGACCAUUUACCCUUUCCCUGCUUCCCUGAGGAAACUCGAUGUUUGGGGCGAGCAAAGCAUGAAGUCAAUGGCUCUGCUCUCAAACCUCACGUCUCUCACCAGUCUAAGCCUAAUAAGAUGCAGUAAUUUAACAGUGGAAGGAUUCAAUCCUCUCAUCAUAGUCAACCUUAAAGAACUGCAAGUUACCAGCAACAACACCUUAGCAGCAGAUCUGCUCUCAAAGGUGGCAAGGACCAAAUUAUUGCCUGCAGGUUACAUCUCUAGAUUGGAGAAGCUCAUUGUGGAUAACAUCUGUGGAUUGCUUGUUGCUCCUAUUUGCAGCCUCCUCGCCCCGACCCUCCACACACUUGAAUUCCAGUAUGAUGGGAGGAUGAAAAGCUUGACGGAGGAGCAAGAGAAAGCGCUGCAGCUCCUCACCUCCCUCGAGAAACUACAUUUUCUCUGGUGCUAUGGUCUGCAGUCCCUUCCUCAAGGGUUACAUCGCCUUCCUUCUCUCAAGGAGUUACAUGUGGUUGGGUGUCUAAAAAUCCAAUCGAUGCCCAAGGAGGGCCUCCCGGUUUCUCUGCGAAAACUAGAGAUGAAUUGGCGCAGCGCUGAGAUAGACGAGCAAAUUGAGAAAAUCAAAGAACCAACCCACAUUUAUCCGUCGAAGAAUAACUACACCCAAGGUUCCACUCCACCACUGUGGCAAUCUUUUUGUGCAUCAGCAGAUGCGAGAUACAACCAACCGACUCUUCAUUCCGCAAUGCUUGCUGUUAACUCUUCAUUCUGCUACAUCAACUGA
rnacentral:rRNA from 1 species